rnacentral:rRNA from 1 species
CGGAACGAUCCUAGCUUGCUAGGAGGCGUCCAGCGGCGGACGGGUGAGUAAUGCAUAGGAAUCUGCCCGGUAGUGGGGGAUAACCUGGGGAAACCCAGGCUAAUACCGCAUACGCCCUACGGGGGAAAGCAGGGGAUCUUCGGACCUUGCGCUAUCGGAUGAGCCUAUGUCGGAUUAGCUAGUUGGUGAGGUAACGGCUCACCAAGGCUGCGAUCCGUAGCUGGUCUGAGAGGAUGAUCAGCCACAUCGGGACUGAGACACGGCCCGAACUCCUACGGGAGGCAGCAGUGGGGAAUAUUGGACAAUGGGCGAAAGCCUGAUCCAGCCAUGCCGCGUGUGUGAAGAAGGCCUUCGGGUUGUAAAGCACUUUCAGUGAGGAAGAAAGCCUUGAGGUUAAUACCCUCGAGGGAGGACAUCACUCACAGAAGAAGCACCGGCUAACUCCGUGCCAGCAGCCGCGGUAAUACGGAGGGUGCGAGCGUUAAUCGGAAUUACUGGGCGUAAAGCGCGCGUAGGCGGCUUGAUAAGCCGGUUGUGAAAGCCCCGGGCUCAACCUGGGAACGGCAUCCGGAACUGUCAGGCUAGAGUGCAGGAGAGGAAGGUAGAAUUCCCGGUGUA